UACGAAGGGGGCUAGCGUUACUCGGAUUGACUGGGCGUAAAGGGCGCGUAGGCGGCUUGGCAAGUGGAAGGUGAAAUCCCUCGGCUUAACCGAGGAACUGCCCUCCAAACUGCUUCGCUUGAGACCGGGAGAGGUGAGUGGAAUUCCCAGUGUAGCGGUGAAAUGCGUAGAUAUUGGGAGGAACACCAGUGGCGAAGGCGGCUCACUGGACCGGUACUGACGCUGAUGCGCGAAAGCGUGGGGAGCAAACGGG
rnacentral:rRNA from 1 species